rnacentral:rRNA from 1 species
UUGCACGCUGGCGGCAGGCCUCACCCAUGCCAGUCGUGCGGAUGAAGGGAGCUUGCUCCUGGAUUCAGCGGCGGACGGGUGAGUAAUGCCUAGGAAUCUGCCUGGUAGUGGGGGAUAACGUCCGGAAACGGGCGCUAAUACCGCAUACGUCCUGAGGGAGAAAGUGGGGGAUCUUCGGACCUCACGCUAUCAGAUGAGCCUAGGUCGGAUUAGCUAGUUGGUGGGGUAAAGGCCUACCAAGGCGACGAUCCGUAACUGGUCUGAGAGGAUGAUCAGUCACACUGGAACUGAGACACGGUCCAGACUCCUACGGGAGGCAGCAGUGGGGAAUAUUGGACAAUGGGCGAAAGCCUGAUCCAGCCAUGCCGCGUGUGUGAAGAAGGUCUUCGGAUUGUAAAGCACUUUAAGUUGGGAGGAAGGGCAGUAAGUUAAUACCUUGCUGUUUUGACGUUACCAACAGAAUAAGCACCGGCUAACUUCGUG